AUUUGUUGUGAAUCUGUCAAGUUUCUUUAUAAUAAGUAUUGUUUCAGAAGAUCCUUGAGUGGAAACAGUUGUGAAACGAAACUUGUCUUGUCAGCGUUUUUUAUUGAAAUAUUUAAUAGCACCAAGUUGUAGAUGCUUUAGAGAAAAGCACCUGAGUUUGUCUACUGAGUACUUUAAAGUUGAGGUAAAGACAGUGGAGGACAUCCCGAACAAGAGUGAAAGUUCUUCAUCAACUUUAAAGGAUUUUUUAGAAAUGUUCCUAAUACAUAAGUCAGUAUUCAGUGUUAUGAAAAAGAUAGCUGACUUUCCCCUUAAUAUUGUAAAGAAAACAAACAUAAAAUACUUUAGUUUAUUGUACUUGUUAAUGUCUUGAUUAUAAAGCAAAUCAAAUUUAAGAAUAAGUGACAUCAAACUGUCAGCAUUUGCGUUUUUGAUUCAAAGUUAACUCCCACACUAGUUGAUAAGUUUGUUCAUAGAACAGCAGUGUCAUUGUGAACAAUUGACUGAAGAGAUUAGCUCGGUGGAGUUAUCAACAGAUAAAUGAUAAAGCAGCUGAAAUGCCAGAAGCUCCAGUUCAUCAUUAAUAUGAGAAAAUGAGAAGGAUCCCAGGUUCCUGUUGAGCCCUGUAGCCAGGCUGACACAGAGAGUCUCAGCUUGACUGAUCCAUCUGUUCCUUCAACUCUGAGGAGCAGGGAUUGACAGGGAUGUCGCCCCCAUGGAGUCUGGUUCUGGAGAUUCAGAGUUGACGUCGCUGUAGGAGGACGAUGAAGGCACAACUAUUGUCGUCAAUGCGGUGAGAGACAUGAGGCCCAGAGCCGGACUGGAUGUGGGAGAAACCAGACUUCAGUACGACAGAGGUAACCCUGUCACCACUAGCACUGUGUGAUCAGGAUGUCAAUUCCUGAGACUGCAGGUGGCGAAGAGAGGAUUGAACCAAUCGCAAGCCUAGCUGCCUCAUCACCUGCAGUUGUGGGAUUGGCAGGAGCAACCUCAGUUGCCAUAAAGGCCAGGUAGGAUUUGAAGCGUCAGCCUCAGGUCUGGGUUCGGCCCGUCCGAUGAAGACCCGGAGAAUGAAGACUUGGCAGUCGGCCAUGGCAGUCCGCUGGGGAAGGCACAGUAGGGCACACACAGGAGAUGCUCUUUGGAGGCCCUUGUUCUGUCUAACAAUACUAAAUUCUCAGACAUGUGGCCUAACCAUUGUUCUGCUCUGCCGGGUUCCAGCAGCUGUCUCUGCCUGUCAGACCGACUCUCGACGUGGAACCUUCACAAGACCAAACUCCUUGAUAGGAUCUUUGGAAUCCACUUGGACUUACUUGACUCUUGAUGUUCUGCCAAAUGUCAUGUACCGUGUACAUUAAAAUUCUGCACGAUCUCA